AGCUGGUGUGCGAACAUAUUUUGAAAUUAGGCCGUAUGGGGGUUCGAGUCCUCCAUCUACUU
rnacentral:tRNA from 1 species